UAGUACAUCAUUACGUCGGUCCUUAUGUUUCUUGAAAUUAAUGUGUAGCAUUCAAGAAUAAUUGAAAAUAGAAACUUUGCCGAACAUAAUAGAUAACGGGGCAUCAGAUGGAUAUGUUGGGUCAGGCACCAUCUUUUUUUUUUUUUUUAAUUGUUUUUAUUACAUAGGGAUAGAGAAAGGAGAAGCGGGGGAGAAAAUUACAAUGUGAGUAUUUAAAUUCUCACCAAUAAAAUAAAAAUUCGGCUAGUCAAUCAACUAAGUUACUAAGUCCCUACUAGUCAGGCACCAUCUCUUUUAUCCUAAAAGGGCUUUUAAGAUUGUUCGGCAAAAAUAAUGAAUAAUUUUAGAGAAGAUGACCUAAUAAUGCUAGUGAAGGCUAUAUUACAAAACACAGGAGUACUUUUUCUUCUUUAUAAAACUACAUAAUAUACAAAAUUAAAAGGGCAUCCCUUCCCUUCCCGGUUCUACUUCAACCCAUAUUUCUUCAUCUCGCAACAACAACUCUUCUUCCCUACCCACUACUUCUCCGGAUCCCACCGCCGACAGUGCAACUCCGACUGAGGCACCCACAACGACCAGCGGCACCACCAUAUUGAAGGAACAAGAUUAAGAGAGAUCAAUGGUGGAACCAGUGGUUCAGGUGUUUGGAUCUCAGUUGUUGGCUAUCCCAUAGUGAUUUUUGGUUGAAGAGUAGUGGAGGGUUGGUUUUUAGAGGAAUUAAUGGUGGAACCUUGAGCUUCACCUUUCUCCACCGACGCCGAUGACGAAGCGGUUUCGUAGAUCUGGGCAGAACAAAAAGAAUGAAGAAGAAACAAAGAUGCGAAAUAAAUACUGCUUUUGGUGACGAAGAUGGAUUAGUGCUCUUUUUUUUCUUUUUCUUUUUUGUGAUGGAGGUGGUGUUAUUGGUGGUUUUCAUGGCUGAGUGGUGGUCGACAGCUCAACAGAGAUAUACAUAUUUCAUACCAAUUUGUCCCAAAGAAGAUUAGCAAGCUGAAUUCGACUUUUGUUUCACAUGAAUUUUAGAUCUUUAGGUGUUAAAUUAGGAGAUUGGUAAUGAAGUGUAUGAAUAAUGAUAGAAUCGGGACUUAUAUAAAGCAUAAAAUUGUAUGAAUAUUGAUAGAAUCGUGACUUAUGUUACAGAAAAUUGUAUUUUAAGUUUUCUAUGUUAUUGUAGUUGUAUUAAUUUGCGUGAAUAUUGUAUAAAAGGUGUAUAUAAUGUUGUUGUAGUUGUAUUAAAUUUCAUCCGGAUUUCGAAGUGAGAUUUAAAAUUGUA